ensembl:misc_RNA Metazoa_SRP Metazoan signal recognition particle RNA
GCUGGGCACAGUGGCACGUGUUUGUAGUCCCAGCUACUCGAGAGGCUGAGGUGGGAGCAUCCGUUGAGCUCACGAGUUCUGGGUUGUAGUCCACUAUGGCAAUUGGGUGUCUGCACUCAGUUCAACAUCAGUUCGACUACCUCCUUGGAGUGGGGGACCACCAGGUUGCUUAAGGAGGGGUGAACUGCCCCAGGUCAGAAAGGGAAUAGGGCAAAACUCCCAUGCUGGGCAGUAGUGGUUUCCAGCCUGUGAAUAGCCACUGCACUCCAGUCUGGGCAACAUGGGGAGAACCUAUCUCUU